rnacentral:rRNA from 1 species
GUCCAGACUCCUACGGGAGGCAGCAGUGAGGAAUAUUGGUCAAUGGCCGAGAGGCUGAACCAGCCAAGUCGCGUGAGGGAAGAAUGUCCUAUGGAUUGUAAAACUCUUUUGUCAGGGAGCAAAGUCACCCACGUGUGGGUGUUGGAGAGUACCUGAAGAAAAAGCAUCGGCUAACUCCGUGCCAGCAGCCGCGGUAAUACGGAGGAUGCGAGCGUUAUCCGGAUUUAUUGGGUUUAAAGGGUGCGUAGGCGGAAUAUCAAGUCAGCGGUAAAAAUUCGGGGCUCAACCCCGUCGUGCCGUUGAAACUGAUGUUCUUGAGUGGGCGAGAAGUAUGCGGAAUGCGUGGUGUAGCGGUGAAAUGCAUAGAUAUCACGCAGAACUCCGAUUGCGAAGGCAGCAUACCGGCGCCCGACUGACGCUGAGGCACGAAAGCGUGGGUAUCGAACAGGAUUAGAUACCCUCGUAUUA